rnacentral:rRNA from 2 species
UCAGGACGAACGCGGGCGGCGUGCUAAUACAUGCAAGUCGAGCGGACAGAAGGGAGCUUGCUCCCGGAUGUUAGCGGCGGACGGGUGAGUAACACGUGGGUAACCUGCCUGUAAGACUGGGAUAACUCCGGGAAACCGGAGCUAAUACCGGAUAGUUCCUUGAACCGCAUGGUUCAAGGAUGAAAGACGGUUUCGGCUGUCACUUACAGAUGGACCCGCGGCGCAUUAGCUAGUUGGUGAGGUAACGGCUCACCAAGGCGACGAUGCGUAGCCGACCUGAGAGGGUGAUCGGCCACACUGGGACUGAGACACGGCCCAGACUCCUACGGGAGGCAGCAGUAGGGAAUCUUCCGCAAUGGACGAAAGUCUGACGGAGCAACGCCGCGUGAGUGAUGAAGGUUUUCGGAUCGUAAAGCUCUGUUGUUAGGGAAGAACAAGUGCAAGAGUAACUGCUUGCACCUUGACGGUACCUAACCAGAAAGCCACGGCUAACUACGUGCCAGCAGCCGCGGUAAUACGUAGGUGGCAAGCGUUGUCCGGAAUUAUUGGGCGUAAAGGGCUUCCGCAGGCGGUUUCCUUUAAGUCCUGAAUGUGAAAGCCCCCGGCUCAACCGGGGAGGGUCAUUUGGAAACUGGGAAACUUGAGUGCAGAAGAGGAGAGUGGAAUUCCACGUGUAGCGGUGAAAUGCGUAGAGAUGUGGAGGAACACCAGUGGCGAAGGCGACUCUCUGGUCUGUAACUGACGCUGAGGAGCGAAAGCGUGGGGAGCGAACAGGAUUAGAUACCCUGGUAGUCCACGCCGUAAACGAUGAGUGCUAAGUGUUAGGGGGUUUCCGCCCCUUAGUGCUGCAGCUAACGCAUUAAGCACUCCGCCUGGGGAGUACGGUCGCAAGACUGAAACUCAAAGGAAUUGACGGGGGCCCGCACAAGCGGUGGAGCAUGUGGUUUAAUUCGAAGCAACGCGAAGAACCUUACCAGGUCUUGACAUCCUCUGACAACCCUAGAGAUAGGGCUUUCCCUUCGGGGACAGAGUGACAGGUGGUGCAUGGUUGUCGUCAGCUCGUGUCGUGAGAUGUUGGGUUAAGUCCCGCAACGAGCGCAACCCUUGAUCUUAGUUGCCAGCAUUCAGUUGGGCACUCUAAGGUGACUGCCGGUGACAAACCGGAGGAAGGUGGGGGAUGACGUCAAAUCAUCAUGCCCCUUAUGACCUGGGCUACACACGUGCUACAAUGGACAGAACAAAGGGCUGCGAGACCGCAAGGUUUAGCCAAUCCCACAAAUCUGUUCUCAGUUCGGAUCGCAGUCUGCAACUCGACUGCGUGAAGCUGGAAUCGCUAGUAAUCGCGGAUCAUCAUGCCCCCGUUGAAUACGUUCCCGGGGCCUUGUACACACCGGCCCGUCACACCAAGGAGAGUUUG